rnacentral:tRNA from 1 species
UGAGGUAUGGUGUAACGGUAGCACAAUGGGUUUUGAGCCCAUGGGUUUAGGCCUGCCUGCGAUAGGUAGGUUCGAAUCCUGAUACCUUAA